UUAACUCAAAUUUGUAUGGAGUUGGAACCUUUGCCUGCGUUUACCGCUAGGGGCGUUGUUCCAACUGCAUACAAAUUUGAGUUA
rnacentral:pre_miRNA from 1 species